CUUCCGCCGGCGACCGGCGCACGGGUGAGUAACACGUAUGCAACCUGCCCCUGUCAGGGGGACAACCCGCCGAAAGGCGGGCUAAACCCGCGUAUAUCGGUUUCGGGCAUCCGAGAUCGAGGAAAGAUUCAUCGGAAGAGGAUGGGCAUGCGGCGCAUUAGCUAGACGGCGGGGUAACGGCCCACCGUGGCGACGAUGCGUAGGGGUUCUGAGAGGAAGGUCCCCCACACUGGUACUGAGACACGGACCAGACUCCUACGGAAGGCAGCAG
rnacentral:rRNA from 1 species